GACAUACUGGACUUCUUCAAAGGUUUUAACUUAUCAGAAGACUCGAUUCAUUUAACACUGAAUUCAGAGGGCAGGCCAAGUGGGGAAGCAUUUGUCGAAUUCUCAAACGAGCAAGACUCGAAAGCAGCCAUGUCCAAGGAUAGAAUGACACUAGGUAGCCGUUACAUCGAGUUGUUCCCAUCAUCACAUGAAGAAUUGGACGAAGCAAUCUCUAGAGGGCGGUGACACCAUCUUCU
rnacentral:misc_RNA from 1 species